rnacentral:rRNA from 1 species
AUUGAACGCUGGCGGCAUGCCCUACACAUGCAAGUCGAACGGCAGCACGGGAGCAAUCCUGGUGGCGAGUGGCGAACGGGUGAGUAAUAUAUCGGAACGUGCCCAGUCGCGGGGGAUAACGCAGCGAAAGCUGUGCUAAUACCGCAUACGAUCUACGGAUGAAAGCGGGGGAUCGCAAGACCUCGCGCGAUUGGAGGGGCCGAGAUCAGAUUAGCUAGUUGGUGGGGUAAAGGCCCACCAAGGCGACGAUCUGUAGCUGGUCUGAGAGGACGACCAGCCACACUGGAACUGAGACACGGUCCAGACUCCUACGGGAGGCAGCAGUGGGGAAUUUUGGACAAUGGGGGCAACCCUGAUCCAGCAAUGCCGCGUGAGUGAAGAAGGCCUUCGGGUUGUAAAGCUCUUUUGUCAGGGAAGAAAAGGUCGUGGCUAAUAUCCACGACUGCUGACGGUACCUGAAGAAUAAGCACCGGCUAACUACGUGCCAGCAGCCGCAGUAAAAC